rnacentral:rRNA from 1 species
UACGUAGGGGGCAAGCGUUGUCCGGAUUUAUUGGGCGUAAAGAGCGUGUAGGCGGUUUUACAGGUCCGCUGUGAAAGUCAAAGGCUCAACCUUUGAAUGUCAGCGGAUACUGCCGGGCUAGAGUCCGGAAGAGGCGAGUGGAACUCCUGGUGUAGCGGUGAAAUGCGCAGAUAUCAGGAAGAACACCCGUGGCGAAGGCGGCUCUCUGGGACGGUACUGACGCUGAGACGCGAAAGCGUGGGGAGCGAACAGG